rnacentral:lncRNA from 1 species
CUCUUCUCUUCAUCAAGUGACUGGACUCUUGAUCUGUGUCCAGUGGCCAUCCAUGCCAAGCCAUCACCGUCAUCUUCUUUCAGUAAAGUUCAUAAAAAAUAUUAUUUUAUUGAUCUAAUCAAUAAAUAUAAAAUUUAAAUUAUUGAUAAUAUUUUUAAAUUUUAUUAUAUACAAAUAUAUUUUUUUCUUAAUUUAAUUUGGGUCCCGCACUCUGGAACUGC